rnacentral:lncRNA from 1 species
AUGGGAAACAAGCAGCACUCAGCAUAGGGGUUCCUCUUGUUGGGAAGGGAAGAACUGAAAGCAACUCAAGUACAUCGAAUAAAUGAAAAAUUAACGACCUACAGAUCAGAAUUGCUUAAUAUAUAAACUGCACUAUUAUUUUGGACGGCCGAUGGAUCAACACCAAAAUGCUCUUUCAUUUUACCAACAAACCUUACCCUAGCACACCCCAACAGCACACAAGUAAUGGGAAUCCAAUUGUUCAGCGCUUGGAUUUUGCUCAAGAUUAACUAGCUCAAACAAGCCCUAUCUCCAAAGUCAAGCCUAGAAUUAAUAUGGGGUUAUAGACAUGAAUAAGUAGUGUGGGCACUUCCCGUGAUCCCACAUUUGUAUUUACAGUUCAACAAAAACUAAGUUGCCGUUAAGAAACUAUAUUUUCUUGAUUAUCAGCCGAGUCAGAGGCAGGAACGAGGAUAUCCACAGCUCUAAUGGUGAAAAGACGCCAUCUCAAGGAACACCAGCCGAAAAAUGUGGUGAUAUGUCAUUAUAAUGACUUUCUUCCCUCGUGCUCCUAUUCCUGACCAUCUUUGAUUCAAUCUUAUCAAAGAUUAAUUCUAAGCUGAACAUCGGUGCCGGUAGCACCCUGGUGCAUCGAAGUUCCAUUUGAGGUCUUUGAAUGCACAUCGUUGCUCCAGCAACCUUGCUCACACCUGUUCUGCCAAGCAAAGAGCUCCAGCCACUAUAUUGUUGCAUACUUGAUAUGGUAAACAACCAAGUAUUUCACUGUAGAAAAAUCAGAUAAAUACAUAGAAACACCAGAUAAUACUAUUGAAGACAUCAAAAAAUUGUAAACAACCAAACAUCAGGCAUUAAAGUUCUCAGUGUUCAUUUUCAAAACAAGUGCAGCCAUCUUUCUCUCUCUUCCCCCAACUAGGUCUUGUCCCUGCGCACGAGUUUUUUUCCCUUAGUGGGGGUGCGGAUGGAUGGCAGUUUUGCCCUGAUAAACUUGCCACUAAAUUCUAGGUACCUAAAUCAAACCAAGUGGCAUGGAGGAAUAGAUAGACGGAGAUAUGAGGAGAAAAUAUACAAAAUAGCAAUACUGACAUUUUUGGUGACCAUUGGAGUAACCAAGACAAGAAACACUCAACUAGGAUCCUUCUAUGGAUCCUAGCUUUACGGUAGUAGGUAGUUUUAGUACUGAUCCAGCUAUGGAUCGUAGUUCAGUAGUAGAUAAUCAUGUAACACCAGCCAUCCUUGGUGCCCAGUGCACCUUGCCCCCUGUAUCUUUUGCAAAUCAGUAAUGAAGCUAAGUAAUCUUUUAUGACCAAAAAAAUGACAAGAAACACUCAACUUUUCAAACAAGGGCAUCUUAGAAUUAUAUUUGAUAAAACCCACCAAUGAGCCUAGUCUGGAAUCCAACUAUUUCUUUUCAGCCAUAAGGGAAUGCAUAACCGUCAAGAGUCCAUGAGAAGAAUGACGCAAACAGUGUUAUUAGAAACCAUCAUUUUGUUGCUUAAAACGACGGAGAGAUGCAAAGAGAGGGGUCACCGCCUCAUGGGAGAAACAAUGCACUUAACUUUAUGAAGCACACACUACACAUAGUGAGGUGCUAAGCAAUUCUAUAAGACCAACAACAACUAUGCUCAGUCCCAAACAAGUUGGGACCAGCUAUAUGAAUCCUCACUUCUUCAUUUAGCUCAACUCUCUAUAAGACCCUUGUGAAAAAAUCCCUGUAAGAAGUACUCGCUUCUUUGAAUUCAGCAUAAGAUGAAAAAUAACAGAUUUGUUUGAGAAAUAGGACUCUUCUCCACUUAAACUUCAUCAGUCUCUUUGGUGAUACUGUCUGCUUCAUCUUUCUCGAGUUUGCUAACACUUCUUCAACUACUUAUGUUUCACCGCCGCUUUUCAUUUGCUUCUUCCUUCUUGUUGUUCUUCAAAGAAGGUGUUUUCUUCUGUUACUUCUAGGAUAGGGAGUCAUCUUCUUAUACUUCAGUUUCUAAGUUUCUCUCUUGUUUCUCCCUUCUACUCUCUUGGUACAAUUAUUAAAGCAAUUAAGAUUAUAAAGGCGAUUAUAUAUGAUAUUGAAUAUUACAAAUGAAACUUAAUUCUUUUAAUGACGUUUGAUUAAAAUUGAAAAAUUCACUCUGCCAUUGAAGUUAUCUUUCACUGUCCUUGUUGAAAUUUUGUAUUAGUAUUGUAGUUUUUGUGUAAUGGACGCUCGAAAUUACCGAAUUUAAUGGCACUUUAAUGUUAUUGGUACUAAAGACAUUUUUUUGUAGUUCUGGUGAAUUGUGCAAUUCAUCUGUGUGCUUUGCCACUUCUCACUCAAAUCCCCACCUGGCCUUGUCAGUCUUUGCACUUUAUUGCUUUUAAAAAUAUUGGUGACAGAUAUGUUAAUGCCAUUAGUCCAACACCAACAAAAUGUUUAAAAGUACAAAGGAAACCAAACAUAACAGGGAAAAAGUGUCAGUUUUCAACCGCAGAUAUGUUAAUGCCGGUUAGGCCAACACCAACAAAAUGUAUAAAAGUACAAAGGAAACCAAACGUAAUAGGGAAAAGUGUCAGUUUUCAACCGACACCAGUUACUGAUGGAUAAAAGAAAAAUGGACCACUAAAUUCCAUUGCCCUCAGCUGCUUAGACAAAGCCUAAAACUGCAAAAUAAUCCAGGACACAUCCAUCACCCCUCACACAUAUUGUUGCCUAUGGCUGAACACAAACUGCUCCUUUGUUUGUUCCAACAAAAUGAAAUUGCAUGCUUCACCUAAUAGACUGCACUUACCCCCAAAGAGAUGGUCCCAUGCUUUCCAACCAUCAAACUAAAAGAAAUCAUAAUACUUAAUCCCUCUGUUAACCUUAUAUUUUAAGGUGUCAGCUAUUUAGGAAUGUGUACUGGUGGGUGUCAUACAUUCACUUCUUUUGCCGAAUAUGUCUGUGGAAGAAGAAAAUUCAAGUAAAAACAAAGUAAACACCACAUGGACCACGAAACUUACCAUUAAAUAACAUAACUAAGAACCAGAACUUGACUUUUGAACCCACACUUGUUUCUGCAUUUACAUCAUAGUCCAUGCAAGCACAUUAGUAAAUGUACAUAGUAAAAGCAGAGGUAAGUAAAAAAUAAGACUUCAAAAAGAAACCAGACCUCAAGUACAUAGUAAAAGCAGAGAUAGUACAAAAUAAGACUUUAAAAAGAAACCAGACCUCAAGAGAACUGUAGGCAGAAGUACCUCCCCUUCUCGCGGGUUUUCCUUCCCCAACAGAAGGUCCAUCUGCAUCCCUCAAACCACGACGACUGCCAUGUUUAUAGUUACCUAGAUUCAUCAGAAACUUUUGAAGUAACCACAAAAGAACCAAUAGCUACGAGACAAGAAAAAAUUAAGCAUAACUCAGCACAAUCAUCUCAUGGCCAUAAAAAAAAGACUAUCCAUUAUCAGCAGAAGAAUGAGAAUUACGCCCACUUCGAAUCAGUCUGAACUCACAGCCGUGCGCGAUUGGCACAUCACCUUUCGCCCCUCCUUGGCCCCCAGAAAAAAAGAGUAUGAUUUCAAGAGAAAAAACUGAACUAAAGGUAAUCUUACAUACAGUGAAACAUUUAGCUACAAUUACGAGGUAAGAUGCAUACACUCCUUUGAAAUCAUAAGAGUCUAUUUUCCAAUCAGAAGAUUUUGAGAAUGUAUCCAUCUGAAAAAAGGGCAAAAUUAGUUAUUAGUGAUACAAGUGAACCAACCUUCAACAAAAUCUCGCACUUGGGAAGAUUGUUCAUCACUGGCCUGUGAACUAUCAGCACGGCGAAGAGGAGCCCAAACACCACGAUCAGGCCUAUCUCUAUUCCUAGAACGCCUUUCUUGCUU